rnacentral:misc_RNA from 1 species
GGAAGUAAAGUCGUAACAAGGUCUCCGUAGGUGAACCUGCGGAGGGAUCAUUACAGAGUUCUCGCCCUCGCGGGUAGAUCUCCCACCCACUGUUAUCGUUACUAUCGUUGCUUUGGCGGGCCGCCGGGUCCUGCCCGGCCCCCGGCCCCGGCUGGGGUGCGCCCGCCAAAGGCCCUACAAACUCUGAAUGUCAGUGUCGUCUGAGUACAAUACAAUAGUUAAAACUUUCAACAACGGAUCUCUUGGUUCUG